rnacentral:rRNA from 1 species
AAAUUGAAGAGUUUGAUCAUGGCUCAGAUUGAACGCUGGCGGCAGGCCUAACACAUGCAAGUCGAACGGUAACAGGAAGCAGCUUGCUGCUUCGCUGACGAGUGGCGGACGGGUGAGUAAUGUCUGGGAAACUGCCUGAUGGAGGGGGAUAACUACUGGAAACGGUGGCUAAUACCGCAUAACGUCGCAAGACCAAAGAGGGGGACCUUCGGGCCUCUUGCCAUCAGAUGUGCCCAGAUGGGAUUAGCUUGUUGGUGAGGUAACGGCUCACCAAGGCGACGAUCCCUAGCUGGUCUGAGAGGAUGACCAGCCACACUGGAACUGAGACACGGUCCAGACUCCUACGGGAGGCAGCAGUGGGGAAUAUUGCACAAUGGGCGCAAGCCUGAUGCAGCCAUGCCGCGUGUAUGAAGAAGGCCUUCGGGUUGUAAAGUACUUUCAGCGGGGAGGAAGGUGUUGUGGUUAAUAACCGCAGCAAUUGACGUUACCCGCAGAAGAAGCACCGGCUAACUCCGUGCCAGCAGCCGCGGUAAUACGGAGGGUGCAAGCGUUAAUCGGAAUUACUGGGCGUAAAGCGCACGCAGGCGGUCUGUCAAGUCGGAUGUGAAAUCCCCGGGCUCAACCUGGGAACUGCAUUCGAAACUGGCAGGCUUGAGUCUUGUAGAGGGGGGUAGAAUUCCAGGUGUAGCGGUGAAAUGCGUAGAGAUCUGGAGGAAUACCGGUGGCGAAGGCGGCCCCCUGGACAAAGACUGACGCUCAGGUGCGAAAGCGUGGGGAGCAAACAGGAUUAGAUACCCUGGUAGUCCACGCCGUAAACGAUGUCUACUUGGAGGUUGUGCCCUUGAGGCGUGGCUUCCGGAGCUAACGCGUUAAGUAGACCGCCUGGGGAGUACGGCCGCAAGGUUAAAACUCAAAUGAAUUGACGGGGGCCCGCACAAGCGGUGGAGCAUGUGGUUUAAUUCGAUGCAACGCGAAGAACCUUACCUGGUCUUGACAUCCACAGAAGAAUCCAGAGAUGGAUUUGUGCCUUCGGGAACUGUGAGACAGGUGCUGCAUGGCUGUCGUCAGCUCGUGUUGUGAAAUGUUGGGUUAAGUCCCAGUGCGUCGUAGUCCGGAUUGGAGUCUGCAACUCGACUCCAUGAAGUCGGAAUCGCUAGUAAUCGUGGAUCAGAAUGCCACGGUGAAUACGUUCCCGGGCCUUGUACACACCGCCCGUCACACCAUGGGAGUGGGUUGCAAAAGAAGUAGGUAGCUUAACCUUCGGGAGGGCGCUUACCACUUUGUGAUUCAUGACUGGGGUGAAGUCGUAACAAGGUAACCGUAGGGGAACCUGCGGUUGGAUCACCUCCUUACCUUAAAGAAGC